rnacentral:rRNA from 1 species
CCUACGGGUGGCAGCAGUGGGGAAUAUUGCACAAUGGGGGCAACCCUGAUGCAGCGAAGUCGCGUGAGUGAUGAAGUACCUACGUAUGUUAAGCUCUAUUAGUAGGGAAGAAAAUGACGGUACCUGAGUAAGAAGCCCCGGCUAACUACGUGCCAGCAGCCGCGGUAAUACGGAGGGGGCCAGCGUUAUCCGGAUUUACGGGGUGUAAAGGGAGCGUAGACGGGAGUGGAAGGCAGGGGUGAAAGUCGGGGGUUCAACCCCCGGACUGCACUUGAAACUGUAAGGCUGGAGUGCAGGAGAGGUAGGCGGAAUGCGUGGUGUAGCGGUGAAAUGCUUAGAUAUCACGAAGAACUCCGAUUGCGAAGGCAGCUUACGAGACUGCAACUGACGUUGAGGCUCGAAAGCGUGGGGAUCAAACAGGAUUAGAUACCCGUGUAGUC